GUAGGGAAGUCGGCGAUGCUCUGUGGCGAGAAAAGCUGUGUGGAUUAAUUAGGCGCCCGUACCGCAAACCGACACAGGUAGAUGAGGAGAGAAUCCUAAGGCCAACGGGAGAAGGGUUGUUAAGGAACUCGGCAAAUUGACCCCGUAACUUCGGAAUAAGGGGAGCCUCCGAAAGGAGGCCGCAGUGAAUAGGCCCAAGCGACUGUUUAGCAAAAACACAGGUCUCUGCUAAAUCGAAAGAUGACGUAUAGGGGCUGACGCCUGCCCGGUGCCGGAAGGUUAAGAGGAGGGCUUAGCGCAAGCGAAGGUCUGAAUUGAAGCCCCGGUAAACGGCGGCCUAACUAUAACGGUCCUAAGGUAGCGAAAUUCCUUGUCAGGUAAGUUCUGACCCGCACGAAUGGCGUAACGACUUGGGCACUGUCUCAACAGCCCGCCCGGCGAAAUUGUAGUACUGGUGAAGAUGCCAGUUACCCGCAACAAGACGGAAAGACCCCAUGGAGCUUUACUGCAGUUUAAUACCGAAGAUCGGUAAUGGAUGUACAGGAUAGGUGGGAGCCAGAGAAGCGUGGCCGUCAGGUCGCGUGGAGGCGUCCUUGGAAUACCACCCUUGCAUUGCUGGUUUUCUAACCUGCCGCCGUGAAUCCGGCGGGGGGACACUGUUAGGCGGGCAGUUUGACUGGGGCGGUCGCCUCCAAAAGAGUAACGGAGGCGCUCAAAGCCUGGCUCAGCACGGACGGAAAUCGUGCAUAGAGCGCAAACGCAUAAGCCAGGUUGACUGCGAGACCGACGGGUCGAGCAGGUACGAAAGUAGGAGUUAGUGAUCCGGUGGUAUGUGAGUGGAAAUGCCAUCGCUCAACGGAUAAAAGCUACCCUGGGGAUAACAGGCUGAUCUCCCCCAAGCGUCCACAGCGACGGGGAGGUUUGGCACCUCGAUGUCGGCUCGUCACAUCCUGGGGCUGAAUUCGGUCCCAAGGGUUCGGCUGUUCGCCGAUUAAAGUGGCACGCGAGCUGGGUUCAGAACGUCGUGAGACAGUUCGGUCCCUAUCUGUUGCGGGCGCAGGAGAAUUGAAGGGAGCUGUCCUCAGUACGAGAGGACCGGGAUGGACAGACCUCUGGUGCACCAGUUGUCGUGCCAACGGCACAGCUGGGUAGCUACGUCUGGACGAGAUAAACGCUGAAGGCAUCUAAGCGUGAAACUCCCCCUGAGAUAAGUUCUCCCAUCCCUAAAAGGGAGUAAGGGUCGACGAAGACUACGUCGUUGAUAGGCCGGAGGUGUAAGCGCGGCAACGCGUUGAGCUGACCGGUACUAAUCACCCGAGGGCUUGAUCAA
rnacentral:rRNA from 1 species